UAUUUAGUGGUUCAUAGCAGGUUGUAGUCUUACAGGCUAAUCUCCACCAGAAAAACUCACUUGCGAUGUUACUACUGAUCCUGUUUGAAUACAAAUAUACUACUCCCAGAAAGCCAAUGGCCAUUUUAGGGUAUGGAAUGUAAGCAGCCUAAAUGAAAGGGAACCACCUGACAAUGAAAUGAAUUGGAAACUUUGAAUUGUGACUGCACAUUCUACGUGGAUAAAUUGAAAUUGUUUGAUUUUUAUGCAAUUAUUCAAUUCCACAAUGAUUCAAACAAGUACAGCUAUAACUGUAAAUAAAACACGAAGCUACACAGGGGAACAACCGCACAAUCUGACACUAUCUCUUCUUCUUUCAAUAUUUCCAUAUUCGCUUGGCACAACAUAUUAAAUGUAGGGCACGCUCCGUAUGGUGAUGCUUUGAACAGGUGAGUACCGAGAGCGCUUUCUGCAGGCGCUACAAAGAAGCUAAGCAUCACUGCUUCGGGUAGAAGGUGGUCCUACAAGCCUUCAUUGAAAACGAGCAAUUAUUUUUUACGGAUGGUGACCGAAAGUGGGGUGAGGAUCACUUAUUCUUCGCACGCUCCAGUAACCUAAAGAACUCGCUCCACCGCUGUCUACAAUGCCCUGGCCUGCAGCCACUCAUGCAUUUAGUGGUUGAAUAAAUGUACUUCAAAAUAUCUGGCAAUGAAAACACGUCUCUGAAGUCAGAGAUUAGUCCUGCGUGACUUAGGAAACGACUGGGGUGUGACACUCGGUAUCCACCAAAAAACUGUGAGUGUGGGUAAAGAGGAUCCAGAAACGUGGAGAAAAGGAAAGGUCAUUUGAAAGUAGGUCUGUGUUAACUGGAAGUAGGUGCUCGUAUUUAACAUAAUUUUUACUUCCAGUCACGAAAGCCAACAUUUGUUUUUUGUAAAUAUCACUAAUCUUUGGAAUACAAGAGCGUUGAUUCCAGGUAUUGUGGGAAAAUACAAACCCUGCAUUUAGUGGAUACGACUUUCGUGCUCACAAUGGAUACAUUUGCUUGGAUUUGUGCAAUCAUAUUUACAUCAUGUCUACCUGUGCAAGUGGACUGUGUCAAAGUUUCAGAUGAUGACACAUCACUUCAGCUGUAUGAAAUACUAACCCUUUUUGGUGAGGCGAGUGUCCUUUACAUAUCGCUUGUCACGUCCUUGUUUUCAGUCACAACUACAUACAUUCAAGAGUGGAGACGAAAAAUCAAAGGGCCGAAUCUCUUUCUUUUCCAGACUUUUGCAAAGGAAACAGUAUUCAUGCAAAAUACUUUACUGGGAAUCACCUGUUACUCUUUAUGUCUCUAUGUUGGGGUUAUGUUAUCCUUUUUGGUGUUAUUGGCAUCCACGGGGUUAUCUUACAUGAUAUACGGAUUCCUUUUUUCGAAAAAGUGGAGACAUUUCGUACAGCUUGAUAGCCCUAAAAGGGAGUUUAGUAAUUUCGAAAUGGAAACAGCAUUUUUGGAGUACAUAAUGUUUGCCAGGACCAUUGCGAUUUUAGCUGCAUUUGUGUUCACAUCACUUUUCUCUGUGGUAUCCCAUGUACGCCUAGUGACAUCAUUGGUGAUAGCGCUCGUUCCAUGCAUUUUCAUCUCAUGGAAGCAGUUGAAAAUUGUAGAACAUCAUAGGGAGCAACAUAACCCUGGAAAUGGUAUUCACGAAGGGGAACAAACAAUGAUGAAGUUUGCACUGUUUUGCAUGAGCAUGGUUAAUAUAGCCACAUGCGUAUUCUUAGUCGUAUUCCUACUGCAACAUCCCGUCGUAUCUCCAGCUGUGACCAAAAUAUUAUGCUUGGUGAUCCUUCUUCCAUGCGUGUUCAUCCUUUGGGAUCAGUGGGAACGUAUUGAGCUUCAGCUCCUGAAUUACCCACGCAGCUACUAUCUCCAAAGGGAAAAUGCACUUCUUCAUCACCCAUCAUUAGGCAUGACAGCUGCUUUUUAUGCCGCAUGUGUAUAUCAAAUGCUGUACCCGAUGUUAUCUCCAGUGGUUUCACCAGUAGUAUUCCUACUGAAGUACAUGGUCAAUCUAAGGAAGCACUGAGUUGAACUGUGUAAAGAUCGCUGUCGCAGGUGUCUUUGACAAAAGUGCUGGAGAAAAUAAUAGCAGUAGACAGUGCGAACUGCUUCAUAAGCACUUAAACACUCAUGUUUUCCUCUUCGCAGUGUGAACCGUACGGAGGAUGUUGAUUCCCCUACAGGAUUCAAAUCCAUAUCACAAAAUAUAAACUUUGUGUCAAGAGUAAGGUGAAAUUCUGAUAAUUGGCGGUAAAACAUUUGAUGAAGUCUAUUUAGGGAUAUCUACAAAACUUCAAGACAUUUUUAAAGCUUGUGACAGAGUGUGUUAUCGCUAACAAGACAUCAACUAUUCAAAAUUGAGAUGAAAGACAAGAGACAUAAGUCCUGUAGUAAGGAUGUACAAGGAUGACAAGGGAUAUACCAUCUUCUGGUUCAUGUGCCUUAAUCUACACUGCAAGAAGUACACGAAUCUUCACUGAUUAUUAUUAAUAAUAAUAAUAAGUAAGCAAUAUUGCACAGGUGGACCCAGAUGUUGCAACAAGUGAGAAAACAAAUAAAAUAUCCAAUUUUCUUGGAAAAAAUAUUCUACAAAAUGACCUGUCUCUUGUUGGAAAGCUACGCUCUUACUUAUUACUGUACAACAUUCUACAUAUUAUCUCCCUUGCUAUUCAAUUACAAAUGAAUUUGCAUUCGGGAAAAUAGAAGACUAUUUCCCGUCUUAACUAUAAAAUUUUACCAGGAUUAAAAAUUAGCUAUCUUGCCCUAUACAAACUCAUUAUAAUCUCUAUGUAUUUAUAGAUAUUGUUUUAUCCAUUUUUUUACAAUAAAAUAUGCUUUUAAGUAUUUUGGAGUGUUGAAAAGUUUUCAACAGUGUAAAUUGUUUGUUUCCAUCAGAAAUUAAAAGAUUUGCAUGGUGCUUUUAUGAUGCUUUU
rnacentral:misc_RNA from 1 species